AUCACUUCUCAGCCUUUUGGCUAAGAUCAAGUGUAGUAUCUGUUCUCAUCACUUUAGUAUUACUACAUCCUCU
rnacentral:snRNA from 2 species